AAAGCUGCUGUGCCUCGACUCGAGGAA
rnacentral:piRNA from 1 species